GGAACCGGGGAGAUGGCCGAGACCAAUCCUAAGAAUGUGCAGGAUCUCACCUUGGUGGUGCAUACACUCCUGCAACAGAUGCAAGAUAAAUUUCAGAUCAUGUCUGACCAGAUCAUUGGAAGAAUUGAUGAUAUGAGUAGUCACAUUGAUGAUCUGGAGAAAAACAUCACGAACCUCAUGACACAGGCUGGGGUGGAAGAACUGGAGGGUGAAAACAAGGUUCCUCCCACACAGAAGAGUUGAAGGUUGCUACUAAUUUAUACUGAAAUCUGGAACAUCAUUUUUCCAAGCCAAGAGAAGACCGAAUGGCUUUUUGCAGCUAACUACUAUGUGUAGACAGAUUUUCUAUUCUAAAGUGUGCAUUCUUUUCACAUACAAUAGUUAGUUUAUA